rnacentral:rRNA from 1 species
CAGCCGCCACGGUAAUACGUAGGUGGCGAGCGUUGUCCGGAAUUAUUGGGCGUAAAGGGAGCGCAGGCGGACAUAUAAGUCCAUCUUAAAAGUGCGGGGCUCAACCCCGUGGGGGGAUGGAAACUGUAUGCCUUGAGUGCAGGAGAGGAAAGCGGAAUUCCCAGUGUAGCGGUGAAAUGCGUAGAUAUUGGGAGGAACACCAGUGGCGAAGGCGGCUUUCUGGACUGUAACUGACGCUGAGGCUCGAAAGCCAGGGGAGCGAACGGGAUUAGAUACCCCCGUAGUCCCUGUCUCUUAUACA